rnacentral:rRNA from 1 species
GACGAACGCUGGCGGCGUGCUUAACACAUGCAAGUCGAACGGUGAAGCUCCAAGCUUGCUUGGGGUGGAUCAGUGGCGAACGGGUGAGUAACACGUGAGUAACCUGCCCCGGACUCUGGAAUAAGCGCUGGAAACGGCGUCUAAUACUGGAUAUGACAUCAAGCCGCAUGGUUAUGGUGUGGAAAGUUUUUCGGUCCGGGAUGGGCUCGCGGCCUAUCAGCUUGUUGGUGAGGUAAUGGCUCACCAAGGCGACGACGGGUAGCCGGCCUGAGAGGGCGACCGGCCACACUGGGACUGAGACACGGCCCAGACUCCUACGGGAGGCAGCAGUGGGGAAUAUUGCACAAUGGGCGAAAGCCUGAUGCAGCGACGCCGCGUGAGGGAUGACGGCCUUCGGGUUGUAAACCUCUUUCAGCAGGGAAGAAGCGAAAGUGACGGUACCUGCAGAAGAAGCACCGGCUAACUACGUGCCAGCAGCCGCCGUAAGAC